AAACAACAAAGUCUUUCAGCAUGACGAACCAUGUGCUACAUAUCUGCGUGCUUAACCCAGUGCAAAAAUACGCACAGCCAGACUGUGUUUUGGCCUCAGCAUGGCUGGCUGCCUGGUCUGGGCUAUUUCAGUCUGAGAGCCUUCUGCAAAGCUGAGAACAGAAGUGGAGGAUGAAGAGGUAACUGACUGCCUGGACAACUACUGCGACUGGAGGCUGUGCUAGAGCUGUUCAGAAGAACUGCUUUCCAGCUCUGCUCAGCUAGACAAGAUGAGGAGAAUGGGAACAAAGUAGGAAUUUUCUCACCCAGAUCUGUAAGCUGUUUUCAGCAUUGCUGAUAUGCAAGCUGCUCUAGUUUUGUUCCAACACAGUACAGACAGUGAUUUGGGUUGCCUUAACUUUGAAAGCUGCCUCUGUGGUGAAUGUGUGGUCUGGUGACAGCUGAGUGCAGUGCUACGGUGACCAGGAGCUCUGAGCGAGGCACCACAGGGCAGGAGGCUGACAGUCACCUACAGACACGCUCCCUCAAGAACAUGCAUGUCAACAUGCAGCUGCAAUCGAAAUGGAAGUACACCUGUGCGCGUCACCACUGGCUGCUGCAAGCUGUUUGAGCCCCUGUAACGCUGAUGAGGGGAUGUCUCUGUGCCUUCAUCACCGAGCUA